GACGAACGCUGGCGGCGUGCUUAACACAUGCAAGUCGAACGCUGAAGCUCAGCUUUUGUUGGGUGGAUGAGUGGCGAACGGGUGAGUAACACGUGAGUAACCUGCCCCCUUCUUUGGGAUAACGCCCGGAAACGGGUGCUAAUACUGGAUAUUCACUGGUCUUCGCAUGGGGGUUGGUGGAAAGGGUUUUUCUGGUGGGGGAUGGGCUCGCGGCCUAUCAGCUUGUUGGUGGGGUGAUGGCCUACCAAGGCUUUGACGGGUAGCCGGCCUGAGAGGGUGACCGGUCACAUUGGGACUGAGAUACGGCCCAGACUCCUACGGGAGGCAGCAGUGGGGAAUAUUGCACAAUGGGCGCAAGCCUGAUGCAGCGACGCCGCGUGAGGGAUGGAGGCCUUCGGGUUGUGAACCUCUUUCGCUCAUGGUCAAGCCGCAACGAUGGUUGUGGUGAGGGUAGUGGGUAAAGAAGCGCCGGCUAACUACGUG
rnacentral:rRNA from 1 species